UCGUAAGGUUUGCUGGAGGUAUCAGAAGUGCGAAUGCUGACAUGAGUAACGACAAAGGGGGUGAAAAACCUCCUCGCCGGAAGACCAAGGGUUCCUGUCCAACGUUAAUCGGGGCAGGGUGAGUCGACCCCUAAGGUGAGGCCGAAAGGCGUAAUCGAUGGGAAACGGGUUAAUAUUCCCGUACUUCUGACUAUUGCGAUGGGGGGACGGAGAAGGCUAGGUGGGCCAGGCGACGGUUGUCCUGGUUCAAGUGCGUAGGCUUGAGAGUUAGGUAAAUCCGGCUCUCUCUAAGGCUGAGACACGACGUCGAGCUACUACGGUAGUGAAGUCAUUGAUGCCAUGCUUCCAGGAAAAGCCUCUAAGCUUCAGAUAGUCAGGAAUCGUACCCCAAACCGACACAGGUGGUCGGGUAGAGAAUACCAAGGCGCUUGAGAGAACUCGGGUGAAGGAACUAGGCAAAAUGGUACCGUAACUUCGGGAGAAGGUACGCUCUUGAUGGUGAAGUCCCUCGCGGAUGGAGCUGACGAGAGUCGCAGAUACCAGGUGGCUGCAACUGUUUAUUAAAAACACAGCACUGUGCAAAAUCGCAAGAUGACGUAUACGGUGUGACGCCUGCCCGGUGCCGGAAGGUUAAUUGAUGGGGUUAGCGCAAGCGAAGCUCUUGAUCGAAGCCCCGGUAAACGGCGGCCGUAACUAUAACGGUCCUAAGGUAGCGAAAUUCCUUGUCGGGUAAGUUCCGACCUGCACGAAUGGCGUAAUGAUGGCCACGCUGUCUCCACCCGAGACUCAGUGAAAUUGAAAUCGCUGUGAAGAUGCAGUGUACCCGCGGCUAGACGGAAAGACCCCGUGAACCUUUACUACAGCUUGGCACUGAACAUUGAACCUACAUGUGUAGGAUAGGUGGGAGGCUAUGAAGACGUGACGCCAGUUGCGUUGGAGCCGUCCUUGAAAUACCACCCUUGUAUGUUUGAUGUUCUAACUUAGACCCAUUAUCUGGGUUGAGGACAGUGCCUGGUGGGUAGUUUGACUGGGGCGGUCUCCUCCCAAAGAGUAACGGAGGAGCACGAAGGUGGGCUAAUCACGGUUGGACAUCGUGAGGUUAGUGCAAUGGCAUAAGCCCGCUUAACUGCGAGAAUGACGGUUCGAGCAGGUGCGAAAGCAGGUCAUAGUGAUCCGGUGGUUCUGUAUGGAAGGGCCAUCGCUCAACGGAUAAAAGGUACUCCGGGGAUAACAGGCUGAUACCGCCCAAGAGUUCAUAUCGACGGCGGUGUUUGGCACCUCGAUGUCGGCUCAUCACAUCCUGGGGCUGAAGUCGGUCCCAAGGGUAUGGCUGUUCGCCAUUUAAAGUGGUACGCGAGCUGGGUUUAGAACGUCGUGAGACAGUUCGGUCCCUAUCUGCCGUGGGCGUUGGAAGAUUGAAGGGGGCUGCUCCUAGUACGAGAGGACCGGAGUGGACGAACCUCUGGUGUUCGGGUUGUGUCGCCAGACGCAUUGCCCGGUAGCUAAGUUCGGAAUUGAUAAGCGCUGAAAGCAUCUAAGCGCGAAGCGAGCCCUGAGAUGAGUCUUCCCUGACAGUUUAACUGUCCUAAAGGGUUGUUCGAGACUAGAACGUUGAUAGGCAGGGUGUGUAAGCGUUGUGAGGCGUUGAGCUAACCUGUACUAAUUGCCCGUGAGGCUUAACCAUACAACACCCAAGGGGUUUUGUA
rnacentral:rRNA from 1 species